rnacentral:rRNA from 1 species
AGUCGAACGAGAACGUUUCCUUCGGGAAACAAGUAAAGUGGCGAACGGGUGAGUAACACGUAAGAACCUGCCCUCAGGACAGGGAUAACAUAGCGAAAGCUGUGCUAAUACCGGAUAAUAUCUACGGAUCAAAGGGGGCUUCGGCUUCCACCUGAGGAGGGGCUUGCGCCCCAUUAGCUUGUUGGUAAGGUAACGGCUUACCAAGGCGACGACGGGUAGCCGGCCUGAGAGGGUGUACGGCCACACUGGAACUUAGACACGGUCCAGACUCCUACGGGAGGCAGCAGUGGGGAAUAUUGGUCAAUGGGCGAAAGCCUGAACCAGCAAUGCCGUGUGGGUGAUGAAUCUUUUCGGAGUGUAAAACCCUUUUAUGUGGAAAGAAACGUAUCGGGAAUAAUACGUCUGGUACUUGACGGUACCACAUGAAUAAGCCCCGGCUAACUCCGUGCCAGCAGCCGCGGUAAUACGGGGGGGGCAAGCGUUGUUCGGAAUUACUGGGCGUAAAGGGCGUGUAGGCGGCCUGAUAGGUCAGAUGUGAAAUCCCCGGGCUUAACUCGGGAACUGCGUUUGAAACCAUCAGGCUUGAGGCUGGGAGAGGAAAGCGGAAUUCCUGGUGUAGCGGUGAAAUGCGUAGAUAUCAGGAGGAACACCAGUGGCGAAGGCGGCUUUCUGGACCAGUUCUGACGCUGAGGCGCGAAAGCGUGGGGAGCGAACGGGAUUAGAUACCCCGGUAGUCCACGCCGUAAACGAUGAGCACUAGGUGUAGCGGGUAUCGACCCCUGCUGUGCCGCAGCUAACGCAUUAAGUGCUCCGCCUGGGGAGUACGUUCGCAAGAAUGAAACUCAAAGGAAUUGACGGGGGCCCGCACAAGCGGUGGAGUAUGUGGUUUAAUUCGAUGCAACGCGAAAAACCUUACCGGGGCUUGACAUGUUGGUGGUAGGGAUCCGAAAGGUGACCGACCCUUCGGGGAGCCUUCACAGGUGCUGCAUGGCUGUCGUC